UUUAAACAUGAGAGUUUGAUCCUGGCUCAGGAUGAACGCUGGCGGCGUGCCUAACACAUGCAAGUCGAACGGA
rnacentral:rRNA from 1 species